rnacentral:rRNA from 1 species
UACGAAGGGGGCUAGCGUUGCUCGGAAUCACUGGGCGUAAAGGGCGCGUAGGCGGCGUUGUAAGUCGGGGGUGAAAGCCUGUGGCUCAACCACAGAAUUGCCUUCGAUACUGCAUGGCUUGAGACCGGAAGAGGUAAGUGGAACUGCGAGUGUAGAGGUGAAAUUCGUAGAUAUUCGCAAGAACACCAGUGGCGAAGGCGGCUCACUGGCCCGAUACUGACGCUGAGGUGCGAAAGCGUGGGGAGCAAACAGG